UUGACAACCCUAAAGAUGGAAGUCCGGUUUAUCCACAGAACAGGUACAUCAUAGGCAGCAGCCAUAUAAGCUUCCUGCACACACCAGUAUGCCUCGACUCUGAUUUGGAGGCACAACCUCUGAGGAUGAAAGAGUAGCUUGAGUUUAAUAACCCGUUUAGUUCCUGGCCUCU
ensembl:misc_RNA